rnacentral:rRNA from 1 species
AGAGUUUGAUCCUGGCUCAGAGCGAACGCUGGCGGCAUGCUUAACACAUGCAAGUCGCACGGGCAGGGCAACCUGUCAGUGGCGGACGGGUGAGUAACGCGUAGGUAUCUAUCCUUGGGUGGGGGACAACUGUGGGAAACUACAGCUAAUACCGCAUGAUAACUGAGGUUUAAAGGCAGUGAUCUGAUCGCGACGCUUUUUGCGUCGCGUGAAUCAGAUCACCAGAAAUUCUGGUGAUGCGAUUCACGCGAUUUGGUGACAAAUCGCGACCGCAUCACUGUCGCCUGGGGAGGAGCCUGCGUACGAUUAGCUAGUUGGUGGGGUAAAGGCCUACCAAGGCUGCGAUCGUUAGCUGGUCUGAGAGGAUGAUCAGCCACAUUGGGACUGAGACACGGCCCAAACUCCUACGGGAGGCAGCAGUGGGGAAUAUUGGACAAUGGGCGCAAGCCUGAUCCAGCAAUGCCGCGUGUGUGAAGAAGGUCUUCGGAUUGUAAAGCACUUUCGACGGGGACGAUGAUGACGGUACCCGUAGAAGAAGCCCCGGCUAACUUCGUGCCAGCAGCCGCGGUAAUACGAAGGGGGCUAGCGUUGCUCGGAAUGACUGGGCGUAAAGGGCGCGUAGGCGGAUGGCACAGUCAGAUGUGAAAUUCCCGGGCUUAACCUGGGGGCUGCAUUUGAUACGUGGUGUCUAGAGUGAGGAAGAGGGUUGUGGAAUUCCCAGUGUAGAGGUGAAAUUCGUAGAUAUUGGGAAGAACACCGGUGGCGAAGGCGGCAACCUGGUCCUUGACUGACGCUGAGGCGCGAAAGCGUGGGGAGCAAACAGGAUUAGAUACCCCCGUAGUCC